CUGGCGGCAGGCCUAACACAUGCAAGUCGAACGGUAACAGGAAGCAGCUUGCUGCUUUGCUGACGAGUGGCGGACGGGUGAGUAAUGUCUGGGAAACUGCCUGAUGGAGGGGGAUAACUACUGGAAACGGUGGCUAAUACCGCAUAACGUCGCAAGACCAAAGAGGGGGACCUUCGGGCCUCUUGCCAUCAGAUGUGCCCAGAUGGGAUUAGCUUGUUGGUGAGGUAACGGCUCACCAAGGCGACGAUCCCUAGCUGGUCUGAGAGGAUGACCAGCCACACUGGAACUGAGACACGGUCCAGACUCCUACGGGAGGCAGCAGUGGGGAAUAUUGCACAAUGGGCGCAAGCCUGAUGCAGCCAUGCCGCGUGUAUGAAGAAGGCCUUCGGGUUGUAAAGUACUUUCAGCGGGGAGGAAGGUGUUGUGGUUAAUAACCGCAGCAAUUGACGUUACCCGCAGAAGAAGCACCGGCUAACUCCGUGCCAGCAGCCGCGGUAAUACGGAGGGUGCAAGCGUUAAUCGGAAUUACUGGGCGUAAAGCGCACGCAGGCGGUCUGUCAAGUCGGAUGUGAAAUCCCCGGGCUCAACCUGGGAACUGCAUUCGAAACUGGCAGGCUUGAGUCUUGUAGAGGGGGGUAGAAUUCCAGGUGUAGCGGUGAAAUGCGUAGAGAUCUGGAGGAAUACCGGUGGCGAAGGCGGCCCCCUGGACAAAGACUGACGCUCAGGUGCGAAAGCGUGGGGAGCAAACAGGAUUAGAUACCCUGGUAGUCCACGCCGUAAACGAUGUCUACUUGGAGGUUGUGCCCUUGAGGCGUGGCUUCCGGAGCUAACGCGUUAAGUAGACCGCCUGGGGAGUACGGCCGCAAGGUUAAAACUCAAAUGAAUUGACGGGGGCCCGCACAAGCGGUGGAGCAUGUGGUUUAAUUCGAUGCAACGCGAAGAACCUUACCUGGUCUUGACAUCCACAGAAGAAUCCAGAGAUGGAUUUGUGCCUUCGGGAACUGUGAGACAGGUGCUGCAUGGCUGUCGUCAGCUCGUGUUGUGAAAUGUUGGGUUAAGUCCCGCAACGAGCGCAACCCUUAUCCUUUGUUGCCAGCGGUUAGGCCGGGAACUCAAAGGAGACUGCCAGUGAUAAACUGGAGGAAGGUGGGGAUGACGUCAAGUCAUCAUGGCCCUUACGACCAGGGCUACACACGUGCUACAAUGGCGCAUACAAAGAGAAGCGACCUCGCGAGAGCAAGCGGACCUCAUAAAGUGCGUCGUAGUCCGGAUUGGAGUCUGCAACUCGACUCCAUGAAGUCGGAAUCGCUAGUAAUCGUGGAUCAGAAUGCCACGGUGAAUACGUUCCCGGGCCUUGUACACACCGCCCGUCACACCAUGGGAGUGGGUUGCAAAAGAAGUAGGUAGCUUAACCUUCGGGAGGGCGCUUACCACUUUGUGAUUCAUGACUGGGGUGAAGUCGUAACAAGGUAACCGUAGGGGAACCUGCGGUUGGA
rnacentral:rRNA from 1 species